rnacentral:rRNA from 1 species
AUGGCUUCACCAUUUUGUGGCAUCUCCACAUGCGGACUCAAUGCCGCCGCUCCUACCGGAUUCUCCUCCAAGAGGACGCUUUCCCUGGUUUCGCCCACAUUUGUUUCACUUGCCCAGGAAAUCAGGCCUAGGAGAAGGUGCAAUUUCAGAGUAAAUGCCGCAAAGGAACUGUAUUUCAACAAGGAUGGGUUGGCUAUGAGGAAGCUGCAGAAUGGAGUGAAUAAGCUGGCAAACCUGGUUGGAGUUACUCUUGGUCCAAAAGGACGGAAUGUUGUCCUUGAGAAUAAGUACGGGCCACCUAGAAUUGUUAAUGAUGGUGUUACGGUAGCGAAAGAGGUUGAGCUCGAAGACCCUGUAGAAAAUAUUGGAGCUAAAUUGGUUAGGCAAGCUGCUGCUAAGACAAAUGACUUGGCUGGUGAUGGCACAACCACAUCGGUCAUCCUUGCUCAAGGGAUGAUCACCGAGGGUGUUAAGAUUGUAGGUGCUGGUGCUAAUCCAGUACAGAUUGCCCGUGGUAUCGAGAAAACAGCCAAAGCACUAGUCUAUGAGCUCCAGAAGAUGUCCAAGGAGGUUAAAGAUAGCGAACUUGUCGAUGUUGCUGCUGUAAGUGCUGGAAAUGAUUAUGCAAUUGGCAACAUGAUAGCUGACGCUGUGAGCAAGGUUGGGCGACAUGGGGUAGUCACGCUCGAAGAAGGAAAGAGUUCUGAAAACAGCCUCUAUGUGGUCGAAGGGAUGCGAUUCGACCGCGGCUAUAUUUCUCCCUACUUUGUGACCGACGGUGAAAGAAUGACAGUGGAGUAUAACAAUUGCAAGCUCCUUCUUGUGGACAAGAAAAUUAACAGCGCCAAAGAUCUUAUCACUAUUCUAGAGGACGCUAUUACGAGUGGAUAUCCAGUUUUAAUAAUUGCAGAGGACAUUGAGCAGGAAGCCCUUGCAGCCCUCGUGCUCAACAGGCUUAGAGGCUCACUACAGAUUGCUGCUAUAAGAGCCCCUGGUUUCGGGGAGCGCAGGAGUCAAUACCUCGAUGACAUCGCCACUCUGACAGGAGGCACUGUCAUCAGAGACGAAUUUGGAGUACCCCUGCAUAAAGCAGACAAAACUGUCCUAGGAACUGCUGCCAAGGUUGUAAUUACUAAAGAUUCAACAACAAUAAUUGGAGAUGGUACUACACAAGAGGAAGUAAUCAAAAGGGUGACACAAAUCAAGAACCAGAUUGAGGCUACUGAACAUGAAUAUGAAAAAGAAAAGCUAAAAGAGAGGAUAGCCAAAUUAUAUGGUGGUGUUGCUAUCAUUCAGGUAGGAGCACAGACUGAAACCGAGCUAAAGGAAAAGAAACUGAGGGUCGAAGAUGCGCUGAAUGCAACAAAGGCGGCUGUUGAGGAAGGUAUUGUCGUUGGUGGUGGUUGUACCCUCAUAAGACUUGCAUCAAAAGUUGAUGCUAUUAAACAAACCCUUGAGAAUGAUGAACAGAAGGUUGGAGCUGAAAUUGUGAGGAAGUCCUUAAGUUAUCCACUUAAACUGAUUGCAAAAAAUGCUGGCAUUAAUGGCAGCGUAGUUAUUGAGAAGGUCCUUGCCAUUGACAACUCCAGCUAUGGUUACAAUGCCGCUACAGGAAAGUACGAGGAUUUGAUGGCUGCUGGUAUUAUUGAUCCAACCAAGGUGGUGAGGUGUUGCUUGGAGCAUGCUGCAUCGGUGGCGAAAACUUUCAUCACCUCUGACGCUGUUGUCGUCGACAUAAGGGCGCCUAAGUGUGCACCUGUUGUGAACCCGAUGUGCGGUUCAGGUUAUGGAUUCUAA